rnacentral:rRNA from 1 species
GACGAACGCUGGCGGCGUGCUUAACACAUGCAAGUCGAACGGAAAGGCCCUGCUUUUGUGGGGUGCUCGAGUGGCGAACGGGUGAGUAACACGUGAGUAACCUGCUCUUGACUUUGGGAUAACUUCAGGAAACUGGGGCUAAUACCGGAUAGGAGCUCCUGCUGCAUGGUGGGGGUUGGAAAGUUUCGGCGGUUGGGGAUGGACUCGCGGCUUAUCAGCUUGUUGGUGGGGUAGUGGCUUACCAAGGCUUUGACGGGUAGCCGGCCUGAGAGGGUGACCGGCCACAUUGGGACUGAGGUACGGCCCAGACUCCUACGGGAGGCAGCAGGGGGGAAUAUUGCACAAUGGGCGGAAGCCUGAUGCAGCAACGCCGCGUGCGGGAUAACGGCCUUCGGGUUGUAAACCGCUUUCGCCUGUGACGAAGCGUGAGUGACGGUAAUGGGUAAAGAAGCACCGGCUAACUACGUG